GCUUUGUUCUUCACUGUCAUACUGCCCGUGUAUCUUGAGUGGUUGUGUUUUCGCUAUCGAGCAAAAUGUCUCAGGUGUAUGAAAACAUCUUUCGUGACGCUCUGAAAGAUUUCAGAGGAUGGCUUGAUUUCAGGCUAUUGUAAUUCGUUGGAGGAGGUAAAACAAAGCAUUUCUUCAAGCAAAUGCAGGAACAUGUCCCUAUCCCCUUUUUUGGUUGUGCAUUUGCAGUGGAGAGUGUGUGGUCAAGGCACUGUGUUUUGGGGCCGAAAUACUAUAAAAGUAAAGAGUCUAGUGUACCUGAGCACUUGGUAAUAUCAUGCUGUGUUAAGAUAGACUUACUUUCCAUAAAACAAGUUCGUUACAGGGAAAGUUUAUUAAAUAAAUUUUAUAGUAGUUCUUUACCCUCUUUAGGAAGACCAUGUGACUCCUCGUAAGAGAUUGAGGAUCAUGGAUACUGGAAAAUCCAACUGCCCAACAACUUUAAAUAUGAAGUGUAUAAGGGUGUAUCCUGAUUACAGUAUGCACUCAGCAACUGAACACAGGGAUACCAAGGCAAAAGUUCUUGCAAGUCUACAGAAAGAUUUGGCAUUGCCAUGCCCGCCGAAGGGCUACCUACGUUAUUAUUUGACUGCUUCUCCAGCAAGUGCGCACACACACAUGCUACUGAAAGUGUUGAAGCAAGUGGGUACAUACAUCCUUCACUUGUAAAGGAAAUCAAAAACUUAGUAACUCAGUGGAAUGACAUCUCUCAAAGUCAUUAAGUUGGCUCUAGAUAGAUUUGUUGAAAUCAAUUUCAUUGGGACACACAUACCAGGUCAAAUGAAUACUACCUUUUACCCCACAGAGAAAACUAUUUACAGUCACAUUUAUCGGACCCUUUAUAGUACGAAUAAAGUAUUGUUUGACGAGACUAGACUGCAGAAUCAGGUUGAUGAGUGGCACAAAGACUCGAGCAAUCACAUGAUUUAUUAUAGGCAUUGUAUGGAAGCCAAUGGAGAAGUGAAACCAUUACUUUUUUGCUAUCAGAGCAGUUGGCAGAGAGAUCUUUUGAAGAAGUAUGGGGGUAGUUGUUUGUUAGAUGCAACAUACAAAACAUCAUAUGAUAUUCCUUUAUUUUUUAUAGCUGUGAAGAGUAAUGUGGGCUAUUUGGUUGUCGGUUUUUUUCAUUCAGAUUGAAAAUGCAAGAUCCAUUCAUGAAGCACUAGACAUUUUCAAGGACUGGAACAAGGAUUGGAAUCCCCUCUAUUGGGUUACCGAUUUCUCGGAGUCGGAGAUAAAUGCAAUUGAGCAAGCAUUCCCUCAGACAAAAGUUUACUUGUGCCUUUUCCAUCCAAAACAGGCAUGGGGAAGAUGGUUGAAAAAAAGGAUAAUCUACGUGUACCAAAUGACAUGAAGAGAUUUCUGGACAUGUGGCAAGAAAUUUCAGAAUCAUCAACAGAGAGAGAAUUUAG